rnacentral:lncRNA from 1 species
UUUGUAUUCCAGUGACUGACAUACCGCAGGGGACUCAAAAAAUAUCUGUUGCAAUUAAUUGGUAAACAAAUGAUGAUUCUAACUGAAAGACCUCCUCCUCUUUUGGUAACACUUUAGGGUGUUGUUUUCAUAAUAUUCUUUUCAAAGAAUCCAGUGUUUUAAGUAUUUGAGGACUGUAUGACACAACAAUGUUACUGAGGUGUACUGUAGACUCCAGGCAGAAGCUGCUCCUGAAAGACACUCAGACCUCAAAUAGACUGCAUACUUGUAGUCACAAAACUAUAUUGUAUUAGUCUGUUUUCAUGCUGCUGAUAAAGACAUAGCUGAGACUGGGCCAUUAACAAAGGAAAAAGGUUUAACAGAGAACUCACAGUUCCACGUGAGUGGAAGGGAGGCUGGCCAAGAGAGACUGUGUAGGGGAACUCCUAUUUUUAAAACCGUCAGAUCUCGUGAGACCCAUUCACUAUCACGAGAACAGCACGGGAAAGACCCACGUCAUGAUUCCAUCAUCUCCAACCAGGUCCCUCCCACAACAAGUAGGAAUUAUGGGAGCUACAAGAUGAGAUUUUGGUGGAGACACAAAGCCAAACCAUAUCAUCUAUAAAAAGGCAAACAACAAAAUAUUGAAUCAAGUCCUGAUUUGAAGCAUUGGCUGAUUUCAAGCUACCCAAAUGGCAUCGCUGAAUGUGGAGAUAAGAAGUGAUGUGCAGCAGCACACCAUUAUACAGUAUUUCCAACAUGUAGAUAAAGAAAACAUAAAUAACCUGAAAAGUACAGAUAAUAACUGUAUGCCUUGAAUGCAUUUUAUUUUCUCUGAAGUACAUUCUUAAGUGAUUUUUUCCUAUAUUUUGUGGGUGACAAAUUGUCUGAGUCUUGGCAUAUUAAAAGUUUCAUUAAUUUGCCUUUAUAUCUGGAUAAGAAUAUAGCUGGGUAUAGGAAUCUAGUUUCAGAUUAUGUCUACCCAUAAAUUUAAGAUUAUUGCUCCACUGAGCUCUGCAUUUGUACUCUUGUCACUAAGAAGUACAGUAUUAGGAGUUUUUUCUCUAUUGUUGGUAGCUGGGUUUUAGUCAUUAAAAAAAAACUAAAGAUUUUUGAAACUUUUGAUUUAUUAAAAUUUUUGUUAUAAGAACUUGCAGUCUGCAUCAUUUCUAUUUUAAUGUGUGUAGAGUCUGUUUAUUAUUUUCUCUUGAAACUCAGGGGUUUUUUUUGUUUGUUUUUUUGAGACGGAGUCUCGCUCUGUUGCCCAGGCUGAAGUGCAGUGGCGAGAUCUCAGCUCACUGCAAGCUCUGCCUCCCGGGUUUAUGCCAUUCUUCUGCCUCGGCCUCCCGAGUAGCUGGAACUACAGGCGCCCGCCACCAUGCCCAGCUAAUUUUUUCUAUUUUUUAGUAGAGACGGGGUUUCACUGUGUUAGCCAGGAUGGUCUUGAUCUCCUGACCUCGUGAUCCGCCCACCUCGGCCUCCCAAAGUGCUGGGAUUACAGGCUUGAGCCACCGUGCCCAGCCUGUUUUUUGUUUUUAGAGACAGUCUCACUGUGUUACUCAGAUGGGUCUCGAACUCGUGGCCUCAAGUGAUCCUCCCAUCUCAGUCUCCAAAUUCCUGGAUUACAGGUGUGAACCACUGUGCCCAGCAGGGCUACUUUUAAAUUUGGGGGAAAUUAUUUUUAAUCAUAUUUUUAAAAUAUUUUCAUUUCUUUAUCUUCUCCUGAUAUUCCUCUGAAACAAAUUCCAGAGCUAUUACAUCUGUCCUCUCAGAUAAGUUAUUAGUCAAACUAACCUUCUUUUUAUAUUUUUGCUCCAUUUUCUGAGCUAUAUCCUUCAUUUUAUUUUUACUUUUAAGGGAGUUUAGGGGUAAUCUGUAUAGGAACCAAUAAAAGGGGAUGGCAAAGGAGCCUGGCUUCUGAUGUUAUCAAAGAUUUCACUAUAAGAAUAGGUGUUAUUUAUAUGCCUAAAUUAUCUUAGUUUACUCUGGAUUUAUUUUUAUCUUACCAAUGCUGUUUUUUUCCAUAUACUCAAUUAAUAUUUUUAGAUUGUUCACUUAUUGCAAUUACAACAUUAUUGCUCAUAAUAUUGAACAUAGGAUCCUAUUAUUUCUCAGUGCAAUAUUCUCUGAAUUGUUUAUCUCUGAAUAAAACAAAUAACUUUUAAAGUAAUAUUUAUGAAAACAAAAACCGUUUACUUCUGGGUCAGUCAUUUAGUUUUCCAUCUUUAUCACUCAUAAUUUUGUGUUUCCUUGGUUUGGUAGUACUAAUGUAUCUAUUCAUGUUUAUAAAUGAUGAGCUAGAAUAAUUAACAGAUUAUGGAGUUUUUUGAAAUUGUGUAUAUUUAUUUAUCCAAUUAGCUUUGAUCAUGAAAGGGAGGGUCCUCUGCUGGCUCUGUGAAUAUGAUGGGGCAUGCUCUUUAGUCAGCACAGUCUCAUUUAGACCACACAAGAAGAAAGGAGGCAGCUGCCAAAAAUAUGGAGCACUGUACUCUGAAACUUGAGCUUUUUAGUUUAUUUCACUACAAAGUGAAACUAAUGUUCUUUUUUAUUCUCCCUCUCAUCGUUUGUUGUGGGGAUCUGGAC